GAUGAACGCUGGCGGCGUGCCUAAUACAUGCAAGUCGAGCGAACAGACGAGGAGCUUGCUCCUCUGACGUUAGCGGCGGACGGGCGAGUAACAAGUGGAUCACCUACUUAUAUGACUGGGAUAAUUUCGGGAAAAAGGAGCCAAUACCACAUAAUAUAUUGAACCGCAUGGUUCAAUAGUGAAAGACGGUUUUGCUGUCACUUAUAGCUGAUUCCGCGCCGCAUUAGCUAGUUGGUAAGGUAACGGCUUACCAAGGAAACGAUGCGUAGCCGACCUGAGAGGGUGAUCGGCCACACUGGAACUGAGACACGGUCCAGACUCCUACGGGAGGCAGCAGUAGGGAAUCUUGCGCAAUGGGCGAAAGCCUGACGGAGCAAUGCCGCGUGAGUGAUGAAGGUCUUCGGAUCGUAAAACUCUGUUAUUAGGGAAGAACAAAUGUGUAAGUAACUAUGCACGUCUUGACGGUACCUAAUCAGAAAGCAACGGCUAACUACGUG
rnacentral:rRNA from 1 species